AUUGUUGUGUCAUCCUGAAGUUUGUCUUCGUCGUCCGAUCACCGAAGUUAAGCAACGUCGGGCCCGGUCAGUACUUGGGAGGGUGACCACCUGGGAACACCGGGUGCUGUAGGCU